rnacentral:rRNA from 1 species
CCCUUAGAUGUUCUGGGCAGUACGCGCGCUACAAUGGUCUUCGCAAACGGAUGCAUUCUCGAAGGAGAAUGCCAAUCUUGGAAUCUAUGCCUUGGUCGGGACAGUUGCUUGCAAUUUUUCGACUCGAACCAGGAAUUCCUUGUAAUCGUGAUUCAUCACAUCACGAUGAAUACGUCCCUGCCCUUUGUACACACCGCCCGUCGCUCCUACCGAUCGAAGAGUUAGGUGAAUUGUUUUGAUCGAUAAGAUUUGACUAUGGUCAACUCUCGUUGUGAAAUUCUGUGAAUCUGACUGUUUAGAGGAAGGAAAGGUCGUAACA